GCCAGGCUGGCUGAGCUGGCAGAGCACAGGACUCUUAUCUUGGGGUCGUGAGUUCAAGUCCCACGUUGGGCA
rnacentral:tRNA from 1 species